GACGAACGCUGGCGGCGUGCCUAAUACAUGCAAGUCGAACGCAGUGGGGACGGGUGAGUAACACGUGGGUAACCUCCCAUCAGAGGGGAUAACACUUUGAAACAGGUGCUAAACCGAUACUGAUGGAUGGACCCGCGGUGCAUUAGCUAGUUGGUGAGGUGACUGCUCACCAAGGCCACGAUGCAUAGCAGAGCUGGGAGGGUGAUCGGCCACACUGGGCCUGAGCCAGGUCCCGGAUUCCUGCGGGAGGCAGCAGUAGGGAAUCUUCGGCAAUGGACGAAAGUCUGACCGGGCAACGCCGCUUGAGUGAAGAAGGUUUUCGGAUCGUAAAACUCUGUUGUUAGAGAAGCGGUAUCUAACCAGAAAGCCACGGCUAACUACGUGCCAGCAGCCGCGGUAAUAC
rnacentral:rRNA from 1 species